rnacentral:rRNA from 1 species
AGCUCCAAUAGCGUAUAUUAAAGUUGUUGCAGUUAAAAAGCUCGUAGUUGGACUUCAAGAAGCGCAUCUGGGCAACCAGUUUGCCUUCUACCAGCCCUAGGCUGUUACUGUGAGAAAAUUAGAGUGUUUCAAGCAGGCUUUUGCAGGAAUACAUUAGCAUGGAAUAACGAAUGUGUCUACAAUUUGGUUGAUUGUAGGUUACAAUUAAUAGGGACAGUUGGGGGCAUUAGUAUUUAAUAGUCAGAGGUGAAAUUCUUGGAUUUGUUAAAGACUAACGUAUGCGAAAGCAUUUGCCAAGGAUGUUUUCA